rnacentral:misc_RNA from 1 species
AAGUCGUAACAAGGUUUCCGUAGGUGAACCUGCGGAAGGAUCAUUAAUGAAAGUCUGGGCUCCGGCCCUCUCUCUUCUACACACUUGUGAAUCUACCCUGUUGCUUUGGCAGGUCUCCACUACGCUGCGGACGAAUGUCUCGGUUCGGUGGUUAGAUCGAAUGGUGCCUGCCAAAGACACAUCUCAAUACCCUUUUUCAUUCGUCUGAUUUUUGUUUAUACAAAAUAAAAUAAAA